rnacentral:rRNA from 1 species
AUUGAACGCUGGCGGCAGGCCUAACACAUGCAAGUCGAACGGUAGCACAGAGAGCUUGCUCUCGGGUGACGAGUGGCGGACGGGUGAGUAAUGCCUGGGAAACUGCCCGAUGGAGGGGGAUAACUACUGGAAACGGUAGCUAAUACCGCAUAACGUCUUCGGACCAAAGUGGGGGACCUUCGGGCCUCACACCAUCGGAUGUGCCCAGGUGGGAUUAGCUAGUAGGUGGGGUAAUGGCUCACCUAGGCGACGAUCCCUAGCUGGUCUGAGAGGAUGACCAGCCACACUGGAACUGAGACACGGUCCAGACUCCUACGGGAGGCAGCAGUGGGGAAUAUUGCACAAUGGGCGCAAGCCUGAUGCAGCCAUGCCGCGUGUAUGAAGAAGGCCUUCGGGUUGUAAAGUACUUUCAGCGGGGAGGAAGGCGGUGAAGUUAAUAGCUUCACCGAUUGACGUUACCCGCAGAAGAAGCACCGGCUAACUCCGUGCCAGCAGCCGCCGUAA